UCCGUAGGCGGUGUAGCAAGUCGAUAGUGAAAUCUCUGGGCUUAACCCAGAGGCUGCUAACGAAACUGCUAUGCUAGAGUGUGAGAGAGGCGAGUGGAAUUACGGGUGCAGCGGUGAAAUGCGUAGAUAUCCGUAGGAACAUCCGAGGCGAAGGCGGCUCGCUGGAUCACAACUGACGCUGAGGGACGAAAGCUAGGGGAGCAAACAGGAUUAGAUACCCUGGUAGUCCUAGCCCUAAACCAUCAGGACUUGGGGUUUGCCCUGUACGGGGCAAGUCCCGUAGCUAACGCGUUAAGUCCUGCGCCUGGGGAGUACGGUCGCAAGGCUGAA
rnacentral:rRNA from 1 species